UGAGACCGCUGAGGCAUUCACUCCCAGUACUUCUAAGAUGGGAUCUUAAAGAGCGGACUGAAAAAAGUGUUUUGUGGUGGCCACAUGGCCUUGAACUCUGGAUUAAAAAAGAAAGUAAAGGGAAUUUGGGAUCUGAGGAUGAGCCCAGGAUCGGAGCAUCCACAGAAGGUCUUUGUUCAGGUGAUCCUUUUCUAGAAAUGGGAUGUCCAACUGACCAGCACAGACCCGGGUUCUCUCUCCGAUCCUGUCUGCAAGAAUAUCCACAGCUCUAACGUGUUGGUGGGUGUCUUGGAAAGGAGGUUGUACAAAGACCCAGAGAGUAGAGGCUCUGAUUUGUGGUGUUCUCAAGGGCAAGCCUGCACCUUGACAGCUUCCAGGUGUUGAGAAUCAAGUUCUUCGGAAUCACCAUCUCUUGUCCUUUUCAACUAUGCAAGCCACAAUCCUGCCAUCUGGCCUUGGGGAAGAAUCGAAAGAGAACUCUGCAUGAAGACCCAAGGCAGACUACGACUCACAUUUAUAUUAAAUGAGACUACACCUGUUGUUCUGGACUGCAGCUGGAAUUGGAAAGGAAAUCUAUUUCCAUGAAUGGAGAAGUGUCAGAGUGAGCAGGCACGUGGCAGCGGAAGCAUGGGAAUAGUCUCACGAGACUAAUGUCAAAGCACAAUGAUUGUCAGAGACUUUAGAAGAUAAACCAACCAAACAAACAUAUAGAAGUUACAUGUGCUGUUAGUGCAGAAGCUUCCAGAUGGAUGCAAGAAUCAAAGCCUUCAAGAACCUCAUGUAAUUGGCACUUGGAAUAUAUCUAUAUUAAUUUGCAUGGACCAUAAAAGCAAUCUUAUCUAGAAUCUUCCAUUUACAGCCCUUGUUAUUUUCUCCCUUCAUUUUCACCUCUUCUCUUCUGCCUGGCUUCCUAACUCCUGGGUAUCUGUCUCUGGUACAUCUGUAGCUUCUCAGCUAGGAUGUUUAUGGGGUGUCAGAUGCCUACAUAUCAAGAACUCUUCCUGUCUCUGGGAAUUAGAUGUUAAGAGACAGAAAACAGGGCACAAGACCACGUACACCUUAGCUCUGAGUUAGAUCAUCUGAAAGCUAUGUUCCUGGACCUCGUUAUCUUGGCUUCCCACAGAAAAGCAUCCAACAAAUUAAGAUUUAAUAUCAUGUCUCCAACUUUUAUGGAGGGCAGCGGACACAGAAAUGUACUUGUGAAGAACAAAGCUGGGUAUUUUACAAAAGCAUAGUGGCGGAUUUUAUCAUGUCACCCAAAGUCCUUUUUAUGAGAAUCUGUAAGACUUUUGAUUCUCUAAGUGAACAUUAUAUUGACAGCGACAAGUAUAUCCCAUAUAAUUACAGGGGACUCAGGACUGAAUUUGGCUUCCAAUGGCAGCAUCUGUCAUAUCCUGGUGACUGGUGGCAUCCAUUUAUUUGUUCCUUUCAACCGAUUUUGAUUCCGUUUUUAUUAUUUAUUUUUCUGAUGUAUAUUGUGGUUAAUUUUCUAAGUUGCCUCCGAUGUUUACAGAUAUGUGUGCACGUGUUUUUGCCUACUUAUCUACCAUCUCCCUACCUACCUACAUACCUAUCUGUUUACUUACAUACCUACCUGUCAUCC